rnacentral:siRNA from 1 species
GAAUUAAGGGUCCGUUUGAUUGCU